rnacentral:rRNA from 1 species
GACGAACGCUGGCGGCGUGCUUAACACAUGCCAGUCGAACGGUGUAGCACCUUCCUUUUGGUGGGCGUGGGUGAGUGGCGUACGGGAGAGUAACACGUGAGUACCCUGCUCCCUUCUUCCGGAUAACCGCAUUAACUUAUGGCUAAUACGCGCUAUUCUGGGUCUGUCGCUUGGCGGGCCUUGGGAAGGUAUUGUUUCGGGUGGGUGUGGGGUCGCUGUCUAUCCGCUUGUUGGUGGGGUGAUUGCCUACCAAGGCGGGGACGGGGAGCCGGCCUGCGAGGGUGGACGGUCGCACUGGGACUGAGACACGGCCCAGAAUGCAACGAGAGACAGCAGUGGGGAAUACUGCACGAUGGGCGAGAGCCUGAUGCAGCGACGGGGCAGGAGGGAUGGAGGCCUUCGGGUUGUAAACCUCUUGCGUCAGUGAAGCAGGGCUGUCCCUACUGUGGGGGGGUUGACGGUAGCUGGAUAAGAAGCGCCGGCUAACUACGUG